UACGUAGGGCGCAAGCGUUGUUCGGAAUUACUGGGCGUAAAGCGCUUGUAGGCGGCCUGUCAAGUCGCGUGUGAAAUCCCCUGGCUUAACCAGGGAAGUGCGCGCGAAACUGAAGGGCUUGAGUGCCGGAGAGGGUCGCGGAAUUCCCGGUGUAGCGGUGAAAUGCGUAGAUAUCGGAAGGAACACCAGUGGCGAAAGCGGCUUCCUGGUCCAGCACCGACGUCAGGCACGAAAGCGUGGGGAGCAAACAGG
rnacentral:rRNA from 1 species